UGGCUCGCGUUUGAUUAGAUUGUUGGYGAGGUAWCGGCCCAMCAAGUYGACGAUCAGUAGCCGGACUGAGAGGUUGAACGGCCACAUUGGGACUGAGACACGGCCCAGACUCCUACGGGAGGCAGCAGUGGGGAAUAUUGCACAAUGGGGGAAACCCUGAUGCAGCGAUGCCGCGUGGAGGAAGAAGGUUUUCGGAUUGUAAACUCCUGUCUUAAAGGACGAUAA
rnacentral:rRNA from 1 species